ensembl:ncRNA K09F5.12 ncRNA
UCCCGCACAUUAUGUAACUGCAGGCGUCCCUAUUUGGGUGGCUCUCGGACAUCAAAUAUUGUGCGUGUGUCCACCCUUGAUGUCCAGUUGGUAUCAUGCACGCAAAAAAAAGAAACAUAGCU